rnacentral:lncRNA from 1 species
UACUGUUCCAGCAACUCAGUGAGUAAGAUUUACACGGCGGGGGGAGGACCAGAAGAAUCCUUGGUAUCAGAGAGAACGGCAUGAGAGAGGAAACCUGAAGUCUGAAGUUAAAGUGUCUUCAGGUGUGGUUCCUUCUAUGGACCUGAAUUCCAUGGACUUAGAGAAGGAAGCAUAGAAGGAAAGACUCCAUAGCUCUCUCCCAGGUUCUGGGAGUCACUGGUAACUCUCUGCAUUCUUAAACCUGUGGGUUCCUCCCUCUGUUUAGUUUCCUUCUGUUUCUGGGAUGAAACAUUCUGAACUAAAGCAACUUAGGGAAGAAUCAAUUCGUUUGGUUUAUAUUUCCAGUAUAAGCUCAUCACUGAGGAAAAUCACGGCUGAAAUUCAAAGUAGGAACUUGAAGUAACAACUACAGAGGAGCAGUGCUCUCUAGCUUACUCACUCGCUAGAUCUCUGAGGCUCACAUUUACCUAGUUUCCUUAUACACUCCAGGAUCACCUGGGGGAUGUGCCCUCUUUACUGUGCUGCCAGAGAAGUCUAGAGUGUGACUAAUGGAAGUCUCACUAGUGGACAGACAGUAUAUGAGCCUCUCACAUUUGGAAAUGAUUCCAAGUGACCUUGGAUGACCAUGAGGCUGCCUUCUCAUUCUUACUAUGAAGAUGGUGCCUGGGUAGGUGUAGAAGGAGUGGAGUCAGAGAUCAAGAGACUCAGAGUGGUAGGACUCUUGAGCAUUCUGAGAAAUUUUUUGCUUCCUACAUGAUCUUCAAAGAAGAUGUUCUCAUUCCAUAGGAAAAGUCAUUAUGGGCUGGUGAGAUGACUCAGCAGCUGUUCAUCUCUGAAAAUAUUUCCCUAAGCUAAAAUGUCCCAGAACAAAUUCAACUAUCUCUGAAAUUUCAACUUAAGAAAUGUAUUCUGUGAAUGGUAUGAGUACAUACUAUAUAAAUGAAAUGUUCUUAGAAGCCAGAAGAAUGGAUCAGAUCCCUGAAACUGGAGUUCCAGCCCGAGAGGUCUUAAACUUCCAGUGUGGAUGGCUAGUCCUCACUUCUUUAUCCAGGCAACACACAGCACGGAUGGACAGAAAACCAAACACCUUUGCCAAGAACAAUUACUGAGGGUGUGAAACGAUGAAGACAUAGAGAAUACUGCUGCAUAGAAAUGUUCACAGUUCUUCAAUUUCCAAAAGGAAUUCAGAGGGAGAACUUGGAUUAAUGUAAAUAAUGUGAUUUUUUUGAAAUACAAAUGAAUAUUGAUUGAGAGGGUUGAAAUGGGACAAGAGAGUGAAGACCAGCCAAACCCAAACACCUACAGAGAGCACACAGAUAUGAAUGUUAGGGGCCCUUUCUGAGGUCUCUCUCUUUGGAGUGUAGAUACAGCUGAUACAUAACCAUCAGGAGCUCAGGUGGGAUCCACAGUCAUAGGACACCCAAGAGGAAAGAGCAAAAUCAAACAUAAAGGCUCCCAUCUUAUGAACAAGAGGCUUUUGCAACCUUCACUAAUUUGUAGGGAGAAAUACAAAUGCAAUCUAAACAUGAUUAAAUAUCCAAGGUGAUCACCAAAUUGAAAAUGAAUUAUCAAAAGUUCAGAUACCUUUGUCUUGCUACCCAGUCCACCCUUGUUUAUUUUUAAACCUUGCAAAGCUGAGUUCUUUGCCUGUGCUCCAAGGUCUCAAGCCUUUCUCAGGUCCGCGGAGAGGCUGUGCAGCAAGGAUAAACAAAACAGUCCACAGCACAGAAGAUAUCCUGGGAGCACCACGAGGCUUGAGAGUGAAAGGUAUCGGGAAAGGAGUUUUCUCUUUCGGUUAACAGCUGCUUAAGCUGCUAUCUGGGGAAUGCUUUUACAGAAAAACCCAGGUCAACCUAUACCAGGUCAACUCCCUGCCUUGGAGAAUGAACAUACGGGAUCCCAUUCAGCACAAAAUGCAACACUCUUCACACAGAAAUCAAUCAAUAUAUGCUGUUGGCUGGUGCCCGAGUUUACUUAAUGUCUCCCCUUUUAUGUGGCUCAAACUGCUUUGACAGGACAGAUUCACUGAGAUUUUGAGCAACCCACUGUUGAAGAGAAAGCAGCUUCUCCUUCCUCAUGACUACGCAAAUGUGACAAAGGGUGGAGAGAGUAGAUAUAUCUAUUUGGCUCUUGUCCCUUGUCUAUACUGGCGAAGCCAUAAUACCUGCUUAGAAUGUACUUUCCUUUGUAGUAAAUGAAGCAUUUGAAACUAGGUAGGUACUUCCAAGGUGAAGGUUUCUUUCAUUUUAAAAAUAAGUUUUGAGAGCAAAUGGCAAUCUUGCUUCAAACAACAACAACAACAACAACAACAACAAUCCCUCUGCAGUGUUAUCACAGCACCUUAAUCAUUGUCAUUAAGCUCUACCUGCAUGAUGUUGAACAUUUUUACAACCACGAUUGCCUUGGACACAAACACUAAGCACAGGAGACCGCUGCUAUUGUCUCCAUUUUCUGUGAGGAAAUGUGCAGGGAGAGGCUAAGCAAGUUUCUAAGAUUAUACAGCUGUGAGUGGUAGCUAUGUCCUAUUCACUGGCACGGCAAAUUCCUAAAAUUAUUCUCCCUUCUUCUAAUAUCCUCCAGUCUCACCUUCUCCCAGCCAACACAAGCAUGCACUUACAUGCUGCAAAGUCUGGCUUAUUGGAAGACUGGAACAUGGCAUACAUUAUGCUGCAUAAAAUCUGAGCUCUCGCAGCCGGGCGUGGUGGCUCACGCCUUUAAUCCCAGCACUCAGGAGGCAGAGGCAGGCAGAUUUCU